UACGGAGGGUGCAAGCGUUAUCCGGAUUUACUGGGUUUAAAGGGUGUGUAGGCGGACUUUUAAGUCAGGGGUGAAAUCCCGAGGCUCAACCUCGGAACUGCCUUUGAUACUAUUGGUCUUGAAUGUUGUUGAGGUGGGCGGAACGGGUCAUGUAGCGGUGAAAUGCAUAGAUAUGACCCGGAACACCGAUUGCGAAGGCAGCCCGCUAAGCAACUAUUGACGCUGAGGCACGAAAGCGUGGGGAUCGAACAGG
rnacentral:rRNA from 1 species